AGUCCUCCUCCUCCGCCCCUCCUCCUGAGCCCUCCUCCUCCUCCUCCUCCCCUCCUCCUGUAGACUGUGGGCUGUGUUGGAUGUUGCUGUUCAGUCUGUGUCCUGUGUCUGCUCUCCUCUCCUCUCUCCUCUCCUUUGCCUGUUUCUACUCCUUCUGCAGAACAACAGCUCCAACUGAGACUCAGGUUCCUCUGAACAGGACGACCACCAGGGGAAGUGACAGCAGAGAGCAGACUACAGUCAGAUACCUACGCAUCCAUUAAAUCCAGCAUUAUGAGACCGAAACCAUCCAUCAAUACCAGCAGAGUGAGACCCAUUACCAGCCUACAAAACCAGCAGUGUGAGACCUAUACAAGCUAUCAAUACCAGCAGAGUGCGACCUAUACAAGCUAUCAAUACCAGCAGAGUGAGACCUAUACAAGCUAUCAAUACCAGCAGAGUGCGACCUAUACAAGCUAUCAAUACCAGCAGAGUGAGACCUAUACAAGCUAUCAAUACCAGCAGUGUGAGACCUAUACCAGCUAUCAAGACCUAUACAAGCUAUCAAUACCAGCAGUGUGAGACCUAUACCAGCUAUUAAGACCAAUACCAGCCAUCAAUACCAGCAGAGUGAGACCUAUACCAGCCAUCAAUACCAGCAGAGUGUGAG